GUAACGAAUGCAUAACGGACACACACCGGAUAUGCAACGUACGAGAAACGGAGACGUACCGGACAGAACGGAUGUCGAACGUAUAUCCAACGGACGAGUACCGCAUAAAACGGACACCUUACGGAAGCGUACCGGAUAAAACGGAUGAACAAGGUAUACGGAAAAAUUAAAGGCGACAAUAAUAAUACAUGUUAAUCGCAUAAAUAUUCAAAAUAUUUCUGUGUAACUGGUUUUGGUUUGUUCUUCAAAAUGCCG
rnacentral:lncRNA from 1 species